UGGAUAGUAAUACUAAUGAAAUUUAACGGAUUUGGCGGCAAGAUAGCCACUUAGAGGAACCUGCCCUGUAAACGAUGAGCCACGAUUAACCUUACUUUUACUAGAAUUCAGUUUGUAUACCGCUGUUGUCAGUUAGUUUCUUUAGAAAACUUUCGUACAUGAUAAAUUCAAGGACUUCAAGUAAAGGUGCAGCUUAUGUAAAAGAUAGAGGUGGGUUACAAUUAAAAGAGUAAUAUGGAUAAAGUUAGGAAAAAACUUUUGAAGGUGGAUUUAAUAGUAAAGUUUAAUGAGACUUGAUUAGAGCUCUAUCUUGUGUACACACCGCCCGUCGCUCGCGGGA
rnacentral:rRNA from 1 species